UGCAAUGGCUUGUUUGGAUUCCAUAG
rnacentral:piRNA from 1 species